CCUACGGGAGGCAGCAGUGAGGAAUAUUGCACAAUGGGCGCAAGCCUGAUGCAGCGACGCCGCGUGAGUGAAGAAGGCCUUCGGGUCGUAAAGCUCUUUUCUGCGUGACGAGCAAGGACGGUAGCGCAGGAAUAAGUCUCGGCUAACUACGUGCCAGCAGCCGCGGUAAU
rnacentral:rRNA from 1 species